CUUGAGGAGCAAGCACAUUGAGAAGAUUCCAAGGGGAGAGUUUCAUAGCAAGGGCCCUCCCCUCCUGAGGCAAGUCCCUGCUUUUCCCCUGGAAGUUGAACUUGACUGUUGGGAUGCAGACUGCCCUUUGAAGGUCCAGUGCAUAGUUCAAGCUUCUCAGUUCUCAGCGGUGAGUCCCAGCAACGGUAAUUCUCCGCUUCGUUUGCUCUGAAGCCACCCAAGGCCAGGAAUAUGAAGCAAGCUUGUUGCAUGGCCUCGACACCAGAAAACACGCCUUCCUCUGGGUGAUUCUCUUUUUCCAAAGAAGGACCUGGCUCCGGACAUGACUCUACCAGUAGUCAGCAGGGAAGACGGCAGAUGGUCUGAUCAACCGCAUGGAGCUUAGAGUCUUCUCAUUCCAGACUUCACCCGCAACGUCCCCAUCCCAGACUACAAUAAUUCUUGUGUGACUCUGGAAGAGGUAGCUUAGCUUGUCUGGGUCUCCAUCUAAAACAUCACAGUGAUUUAAAAAAAAAAAAUGGUUUCAAAUUUGUGAUUCUAUCAUUUCCCUUGCAUGGAUGGGCUCACAUUGGCCUGUGUGGAUCCACCGGACACAUUCCUAAGGGUUUGACCCAGGCAAUCAGGCAGAGGAGGAGGUACUAGAACCAGUAGUCCCUUUGGUGGUCAGAGGAGACUACUUGGAGCAGCCACUUCAAACACAUCAUCCAUUAGCUCUUCCACACGUGACUUCCUUGUGCAUGGAGGUAAAGCUUGUCUGGCCACCAGAAGCACAAUGUCUUAUUUUAAAGCAACACAAAUAAGGUAGAUACAAGUCCUACUGUGGAUGGGUAGUUAGAGAUGGUCUUGUCUUGUUCAUCCCUCUACACCUCCACAUGAACAGAGAUCGUAUCAUUGCCUUUGGGCAAAGGAGCAAAAAAGAACAGAAAGGAGAUGAGACUUGCCUACAGUUACACAGCAAGUGAGUGGUAGAGGUGAGAGAAAAUUCUGGCAUUGAGAUUUCCAAGUCCACAACACCAUUGUUGUGUCAUUGCUAGAGAAUAAAAGGAGAAUAAAAAAAAAUAAAAUGGGAGAUGGUGAGAUGGUCAGUGGUUAAAGAUGUCUGCUGCCAAGGCUGAUGACCUUAAUUCAAUCCCUGGGACCUGCACACUGGAAAGAGAGCCAACUUCCACUAGUUGUCCUCUGACUUCUACACAAGUGCUAUCACACACACACACACACACACACACACACACACACACACACACGAGGCACUGUCUCUUUCAGUUGUCUAAUAAUUUGAUGAAAGGGAAAUCAAUGGCUCUAUUUUAUAGGCAUUGAAGCCAAAAGAUGUACAGCCACACAGCAAGGACUGGACAGAGCUGUCAAGAGCAAAUAGAGUUUAAGUGGUGGGGUCAGGUUCAAACCCUAGUAUUUGAAGGGUUUCAGUAGAGUGGGGAGGGGGAUUCCAUGCCUUGU